GAAGCACGAGAGGCGGUGGGUGGGUUGAAGGGUCGUCCUUGAGCCAGUUCAGUUGUUUCUGAUUAAUGCCAUCCGACUUGAAGGAUACAGAUGCAGCGGCACAAAAUGCAAAUCACCCGGCGGAAUAAUCAAAUCGAGAACGAAACUGAGCAAAAUGCCAUCAAAGUUGACAACGAACCGAACGGAAACUGCUCCACAAAGGCAACACAACAGCACACAAUUGCACGGGCCCAAGGGGCACAGGACGAACAAGGUUCAGGUGUUCGGCUGGGCAGGAUUUUCCCACGACCCCAGCCAGUUCGCCCAAAUUUUCCCGUUUCCCAGCCCAUUCGAUCUAGACAACACCACCCACAACCACCCACUUGCCAGCCCAUAGAAAUCAACAAUCAGCAAAUAUUUGCAUAGCCUGCUCUCGCCCGUCUCCUGGCUCGUCGUUCUUUCACUCCAGGUGACACUCCGCAUUCAUUGGCAUUUUCUAUUUACCAGGCUGAGAUACUGUCUGUCUGCCCCGUUUUGACAGUUUAUUUCACAGGAUAUUUGUGCCACCGAAUGCCGGAUGGAAUUUUGCUAAAUUGUUGCAUGUUUGCCGGAUUGCGAGACAGUGGCAUGUGGCAAAGCUUGUCUGAAUAUAUUGGAAUCUCAUCGGAAAAGCGCACUAACACGAGCGGAGGGAGGUAUUCUCCGAAAAGGGGAUGAGCGCAGUUGAAUGGAGCUCUAAGCAUGUUAAGUUUAAAAGGGGUGCGAAUCCAAAACUCGUGCUGAAUUGUUUCAGUUUAUAAAGCAAUGCAGAUUACUCUUUCUGAAGCCUACAUAAAGAAUUUUACCUUCAUGUUUUAUAGCAUCGAUAAGAAAAUUUAAAUAAAUAUCAUAAAAAU
ensembl:ncRNA lncRNA:CR43807 long non-coding RNA:CR43807